GGCAAUGGCUCGUGAUGGGAGUGGCAUAAACGGCACGGUCUGACGGAUCAACGAAACCGGCAGUGGCCCGCAGGGAUCACUCACCUUCCGAGUCGGUGAAAUGCUCAACAGGAUGUCAAGUCGGGCAAGUUGACCUUGAAUGACAGGCACGUCUGGCACUAACUGGAGGAACACAGCAGAUGUACAAAAGCACAAGUCACAACAGCUGGUAAAGUUACCACUCCAAACCAUCUCUGGAUGAACUCAAGUCACUCAAGCAAGCAAAAGCAAGCGAUUGCUUGAAGG